AUGUGGCAGAGACUCCACACAAGGAACCAGGGGGGAAAACGGGGACCUUCAAACCAUAGGUCUAGUCAGAGAAGAAAAUGGGGGAGGCAGAGAGGCAAAGGAAGAGAGCGUGGGAUGGUGGAGACUGGCGUUGGGGGCUCAGAUCAGGAGGCUGGAUGUGGGGAACAGAGGGGCAGGCAGAAUGGGACGGAGAACCAGAACAGUCUUAAAGCACAGCUGAGAGGGAAAGCGGGCGAAGGGGAGAUCCGAACCAUGUCAUCAGGGAGCAGGAGAGCAAGGCAAUGGGCAGGGGUGCAUUCCAGGGUCCAAGGAGGAGAGGGCGGAGCAACGGAGGAGGAGAGGGGAGGAGGUGGGGAGGCAGGGGCCCAGUUAAAUCCUGUGAGCAGUGGCUGGAUUAAAAGGGAAGUGAGAAAAGAAGAGAGUGCCAGGCUAAGGAAAGGGAGCCCUUUAGCAAACCGGGGCCCGAGCCACGGAAGGACUGAACGAGAGACAGCGGGUGGUUCUGGAGAGAAGUGGGCAGGGCAGGGGAUGGAAGGCGUGUGAGCUGGCAGAGCAGGUCCCAGGAGGGAGCACCCCCUAUGGAGAAGGGAUGACCCAGGGCAGUGACGAUAGGCAUCAGGCAGCACGGAGAGGACACGAUGGGCCUAGAGGAGAGGCUGACGCUCUCGCUGGGCCAGGGAGGGGAAGGGGAGGAGUGGAUCACGUGAGGAAAGGCCACGGGAAGGAAUGUCCACAUGGGGUCUUGAUGUGGCAGGACAGGAGGGUCACCUGGAAGAGACAGACCAGGUGCUGGGAGGCACCCAGGGAGGACAGAGAGCAGAGGCCAGGUGCUGGGAGGGACCCAGGGAGGACAGAGAGCAGAGGACAGGGGAAGGGACACAGGCUGGACAGCAGCAGAUAGAGCAAAGGGAAGAGAGAGGUGGGCAGGUCGGAAUCCAGGCAGAUCUCGAGGUGCCAACCAGAAGGACUUAAAAGUUACAGGGCCAGCCAGUGGGGGCAGAGGCUUGGGGCGGGAGGCGUGGAAAGGGGUGGCUUGCGGUGGGUGGGAGCAGCGGCUGCUACUGCAGCCUUGAAUGUCGUGGCUGGGGUAGAACUUCUUUGCCAGGCUCUUUACUAGGGGGGAUCCGGGGGGGGAGGGGGGGACUGAACAGGAUGGGCUGGGAGGUGGGGGUAGGGAGUGGGAAGGGGUUUUGGGAAGGGAUUGGGAUCAGUGGGUGUGUGGGAAGGGUGGAGGUGCGGUGGGAGGUGGGUAUGGGAUGGGAGGUUGGAUGAAGUGGGAGGGACUGGGUUAGGGUGGGGAGGGCACGGUUGGGAUUAUUAGGGUGGGAGAUUGUGGGGGAACGUGAACCAAUCUCUAGGCACUGGGAACAUCAUGUGCUUUAACUGAGCUUCUGGACUGAUAGACCGUCCAGUGUUGCGGUGAUGACUACAGGCUGAGGACUGGGAAGACCAGUGAGUCCACACUGAGAGGACAAAGGGAAGUGUCUGCAGGAAGGGAGGAGGGGGAAGAUCCGCUUGAUGUAAACAGAGAAGGACAGGGAGACGGGGUGGGGGACAAGGCUCACCAGGGGACGGUGUUGCGGGUCUGAAAUGAGGAGUGGUAACCUGGGACAAUGGACAGUGGCACCACCGAGGAGCACAGGUUUAUACCAAAGAUAUUGUCCCAGUGCUUGAGAGGCAUAAAGGUUAUAUAAAUAUGGGUAUGUGAAAAGAAUAGUGUUUAAUGCAGACAGGGUUCUGGGGAAAGUCGGGUGUCAAUGAGUUCAUAUACAAGGGAAUGAGCUGGUUCUAACAAGACAGUGCCAGGCCAAUGCUGGGAUCUUUGGGGAACUGACAGCUGAUGGGAAGCCAGAGGCGGGCAAGGGGAGAGUGCAGCCCAGGGAGGCAGGCGGCCUUCCACACCAGUGAUUCUUCC
ensembl:lincRNA